UGCAUUCACUACUGUAAGUCGCUCUGGAUAAGAGCGUCUGCGAAAUUACUGAAA
rfam:Salmo salar isolate Sally breed double haploid chromosome ssa23, whole genome shotgun sequence.